GGUUUAAUGGCCUGGUGGCUAUAAUUUCUGUCUCACACACAGAAGGUCUCCAGUUCAAUCCUGGAUUAAACCU
rnacentral:tRNA from 1 species